rnacentral:lncRNA from 1 species
UUCCGCUACUAGCCGAUGUGGGACUAAAUUCGGGUGCACCCCCCACAACAUAGCCCCCCUAGCGGGAAGGUUCCUGUGGCGCCUCCCAGUCCUAGGGGUAGUCUGCGGCAAGGGGCGCGCCCCUUCCUCUAGCGCCAAUCUGUUGCGGGGACGGACGCUUUGGCCGGAGCCUCACGCAACAGUUAGCCCACAUUAAGCUAGCAGAGAAAGAGGACUGCGUUCCUCCCGAGGUAUUGUCUACUUUGGGCGCUCCGGCCCGCGCGUCUAGCGCAUACGGGGGGAGACUGGUGCCCUCACGGUUUUGUCCCACAAAAG